CGCGGGGCUGCUCCGGCCGCCGGGGGUUGGGCCGGCCGGCGGCGCGUCAAGCCAGCCGCUCGGGGCGGGGCGGGACCGAGGCGGCCCGGAGCCGCCCUGCCGCGGCCGGGGCUGGCAGCCCGGCUCCCCGCGCCGCCCUCCAGCCGGCCCCGGCGGGCGGCGCUGGAGCGGGCCCGCGCUGCGGAGCCGGGGCCCCCCUAACGCCCCAGGCGGGCGCACCCAGGGCAGAGCCGCCUGGAUCGACCGACCCGCCCCGCUGGCGAGCUCCGUCCUCUGCAAAGAGCCUGGGGGGGCUCCCGCGGCGCCUCGUCCCGACCAGCUUCCCAGCGCCAGGGGAGCAAGAUCCGUCUGACUUGCAUCACCGGCCCGCGCGUCCCCUCCUUGUAGUUUCCUUUUCUACCAUCCCCAGGAGCUUAAAUUUACAGAAACCCUCCCAUUGCUGCUCGCUCCUAAAAAGGGAGAGGUAAUUUUCUUCUUCAGCAGAGUGACCUGCAGUUAACAGGUGUGAGAGGACAUGCUGGAUAAAACUCAGCAAGAACAGGGUCCUCCACUGUAUUUGUAUGUUAAACAGUUUAAAUUUUAGGAAUACAUAUCGGCUUAAACCCACUUUGCUUAGAAUGUGUAUAACUGGACAUAUUAAAGGGCUCCACCUUC